rnacentral:rRNA from 1 species
CUGCUGCCUUCCGUAGGAGUUUGGGCCGUGUCUCAGUCCCAAUGUGGCCGUUCACCCUCUCAGGCCGGCUACUGAUCGUUGCCUUGGUAGGCUUUUACCCCCACCAACUAGCUAAUCAGACGCGGAACCAUCGUAUACCACCUCAGUUUUUCACACUGCUUCAUGCGAAGCUGUGCGCUUAUGCGGUAUUAGCACCUAUUUCUAAGUGUUAUCCCCCAGUAUACGGCAGGUUUUCCACGCGUUACUCACCCGUCCGCCA